UGGGGAAUAUUGCACAAUGGGGGAAACCCUGAUGCAGCGACGUCGCGUGAGCGAAGAAGGCCUUCGGGUCGUAAAGCUCUGUCCUAUGGGAAGAAAAAAAUGACGGUACCUACAGAAGAAGCAACGGCUAAAUACGUGCCAGCAGCCGCGGUAAUACGUAUGUUGCGAGCGUUAUCCGGAAUUAUUGGGCUUAAAGGGCAUCUAGGCGGUAAGACAAGUUGAAGGUGAAAACCUGUGGCUCAACCAUAGGCUUGCCUACAAAACUGUUGAACUAGAGUACUGGAAAGGUGGGUGGAACUACACGAGUAGAGGUGAAAUUCGUAGAUAUGUGUAGGAAUGCCGAUGAUGAAGAUAACUCACUGGACAGAAACUGACGCUGAAGUGCGAAAGCUAGGGGAGCAAACAGG
rnacentral:rRNA from 1 species